rnacentral:lncRNA from 1 species
AAGUCCGUCUGGAAUUUGUCUGAUGUAGAAGCUUGUCUGAAGACUGUCCGUUGGAGAGGUCUGGUUGCAUGAGGAAUCCGGCAGAAAAUCGACCGAUAGCAAAAUUCGAAAGGUGUUGUGGAAGUUCGUCCGCUGGAGGAGUUUGGAGGACACUGUGGAAGGUCGACCGCUGGAGGGGUCCGGAGGAAAUUUAUCCGUUGGAG